rnacentral:rRNA from 1 species
AUUGAACGCUGGCGGCAGGCCUAACACAUGCAAGUCGAACGGUAACAGGAAGCAGCUUGCUGCUUCGCUGACGAGUGGCGGACGGGUGAGUAAUGUCUGGGAAGCUGCCUGAUGGAGGGGGAUAACUACUGGAAACGGUAGCUAAUACCGCAUAAUGUCGCAAGACCAAAGAGGGGGACCUUCGGGCCUCUUGCCAUCGGAUGUGCCCAGAUGGAAUUAGCUUGUUGGUGGGGUAACGGCUCACCAAGGCGACGAUCCCUAGCUGGUCUGAGAGGAUGACCAGCCACACUGGAACUGAGACACGGUCCAGACUCCUACGGGAGGCAGCAGUGGGGAAUAUUGCACAAUGGGCGCAAGCCUGAUGCAGCCAUGCCGCGUGUAUGAAGAAGGCCUUCGGGUUGUAAAGUACUUUCAGCGGGGAGGAAGGGAGUAAAGUUAAUACCUUUGCUCAUUGACGUUACCCGCAGAAGAAGCACCGGCUAACUCCGUG